UACGUAGGGGGCAAGCGUUGUCCGGAAUCAUUGGGCGUAAAGAGCGUGUAGGCGGUCCGGUAAGUCGGCUGUGAAAGUCCAGGGCUCAACCCUGGGAUGCCGGUCGAUACUGCCGGACUAGAGUUCGGAAGAGGCGAGUGGAAUUCCCGGUGUAGCGGUGAAAUGCGCAGAUAUCGGGAAGAACACCCGUGGCGAAGGCGGCUCUCUGGGACGGUACUGACGCUGAGACGCGAAAGCGUGGGGAGCGAACAGG
rnacentral:rRNA from 1 species